GGCGAACCGGGAGAACUGAAACAUCUAAGUACCCCGAGGAAAAGAAAUCAACCGAGAUUCCCUCAGUAGCGGCGAGCGAACGGGGAUUAGCCCUUAAGCAUCUUGGAAGUUAGUGGAACGGUCCUGGAAAGGCCGGCGAUACAGGGUGAUAGCCCCGUACACGAAAACAACCUUGAUGUGAAAUCGAGUAGGGCGGGACACGUGACAUCCUGUCUGAAUAUGGGGGGACCAUCCUCCAAGGCUAAAUACUCCUGACUGACCGAUAGUGAACCAGUACCGUGAGGGAAAGGCGAAAAGAACCCCUGUGAGGGGAGUGAAAUAGAACCUGAAACCGUGUACGUACAAGCAGUGGGAGCCCUUCGGGGUGACUGCGUACCUUUUGUAUAAUGGGUCAGCGACUUACAUUUUGUAGCGAGGUUAACCGUAUAGGGGAGCCGUAGGGAAACCGAGUCUUAACUGGGCGUCUAGUUGCAAGGUGUAGACCCGAAACCGGGUGAUCUAGCCAUGGGCAGGUUGAAGGUUGAGUAACAUCAACUGGAGGACCGAACCCACUAACGUUGCAAAGUUAGGGGAUGACCUGUGGCUGGGGGUGAAAGGCCAAUCAAACUCGGAGAUAGCUGGUUCUCCCCGAAAGCUAUUUAGGUAGCGCCUCGGACGAAUACUACUGGGGGUAGAGCACUGUUUGGGCUAGGGGGUCAUCCCGACUUACCAACCCCAUGCAAACUCCGAAUACCAGUAAGUAAUAUCCGGGAGACACACGGCGGGUGCUAACGUCCGUCGUGAAGAGGGAAACAACCCAGACCGCCGGCUAAGGUCCCAAAGUUCUGGUUAAGUGGGAAACGAUGUGGGAAGGCUCAGACAGCUAGGAUGUUGGCUUAGAAGCAGCCAUCAUUUAAAGAAAGCGUAAUAGCUCACUAGUCGAGUCGGCCUGCGCGGAAGAUGUAACGGGGCUCAAAC
rnacentral:rRNA from 1 species